GAGGAAAAUGCUGGAGAGAGGGGAGGGCUGGGGGGGGGGGGGGUUUCAGGACAAAGGGGAAAGCAGAUAGAGGCGAGCCGGUCGCGACUGCGCAUAAAAAGGAUUCGCGCAAUGUCGCCGCGUCGACUAUCGACUUGGCGAGUGCGUACCGGGUGGCCGAGCUGCGAGGACGACCUGUUGCGGGUGCCUCCACUGGCCUGCACUCCACACACUGUGCAUCAGCGCCCAGCUGUGCGUCCCCCGGAGACAGCUCAACACAUUAUGACGCCUGCGGUGAGCGUGCAACGGCUGAUGCCCAAGUUUGGAACUCGAGUGCCAGCCCUGUGGACUGCGGCAGACAAGUUCCUCGCGAGGGCCAAGGCGACGCAGCCGUCGACUGCACCUGCUAUAGACAACAUUGUCAUCGAACCUACGCCAGAAUCCCGGUUUCAAGAGGUGCUGGACCACGUGACCCCCAUCUUCCUGCGGGACGAGCCCCUGUCGCACAGCUUCCCGCCGUGCACCACGGGCAGGAGGGAGCGCGACUUCCGGCAGUAUGCCAUGGAGCAGCUGCGCUCCGGACUCUCCGUGAUGGCCACAGACGGACCCGGGGGGCCCGUCGUUGGCUCCUGCCUCAACCGGCCCUUCUCCAAGCACUACCUGGUGACCGCCUGCGAGCAGCAGCCCGAGCCUGAUGACCUUCCAGAGGACCCGCUGGUGCCGAAUGUGGUCCGCCUGUUGACCACGGUCCAUCGCCAACUGGACCUGUUCUCUGCCUUCGGAGUGGACGAGAUCUUCGAACUGGGGCUCGCGUCCGUGGAACCCACACACGUAGGAAGAGGCAUCGCGUCGCGGAUGAUGCGCUGCAGCCUGGAGCUGGCGGCGCAGCGCGGACUGCGGGCGGCCAAGGGCGACUGCACCGGCGUGGCGUCGGCGCGCGCCGCCGUCCGCGCCGGCAUGAGCGUCGUCUUCCGGCUGCCGUACGCCAGCUACUCGCCCGCCGGCCGCGUCGUCUUCCACACGACUGGCGAGGCCAACCCGGAGCUGACCGUGGUGGCAGCGCGCCUCCAGCCCGCGCCGCCCCACGUGCUGCCGGCCGAGCUGCCGCAGGCGCCUCGCCACUGAGCCGGCUGGCCGCUGACCCGACGGACGCUUCUCCAUUUACGGUCGCUGGCGCUAAUUCUUUUUGUCAAGGCUUUCCUGGAACAGCCAAAUAGCGCUAGCCGUUGAAUAUUCAUUAAGGAACAGUAAUGGGUUUCACUGGCGCCAGGCUAUCACUGGCGCCAAUCCAUCACUGGCGCCAAUCCCUCACUGGGACGUGUACAUCACUGGCACCAGCACAUUGGCGCCAGUGCAUCUUUGGCGACAGUACAUUGGCGCCAGUAUAUAAGCGCCAGUACAUGAUUGGCGCCAGUACAUCAUGAAGCGCUGUCUCUAAGAUGUACUGGCGCAAAUGUGCUUGCGCCUUUAUGUCACUGGCGCCAGUACAUCACUGGCCCCAGCACAUUGGUCCUAGUACAUUGGCGCCAGUACAUUGGAGCCAGUACAUGAUUGUCGCCAGUUCAUUGGCGCCAGUCGUAAGCUAACGCUAUUGGUGCCAGCGCUUGCGCCAACCCAUCUCUGCACCAGUCCUCCAAUGGCGCGUCCGUCACGGGCGAUAGUCCUUUACUGGCACUAGUUCUUCACUCGCCCCAGUCGCCCACUGGCACUAUUCUUACUUUGGUGGCGGCCCUUCACUGGCGCCAGUCCAUCUCUAGCGACAGCCCAACACAGGCAUUCCUGCUGGUGACAGUGUUCUUGCUCUAAUCUGUGACACAUUUCUGUGCUCUGUCACUGUAUUCAUUGUAUUCUUCUGGAGCCAGUCAUUUUUGGGCCAAAUAAUCUUUAUAUCUUAAACACUUAUCACUAAGAAGCGCUGAUAUCAGAAUUCCCAAUGGCGCCAGUUAUUUAUGGCGUACUGUCGCCAUUUAUUAGCAGUGGUCCAGUUAUUAGCAUAUUUUCUGCACCUGCUAGACAGCAGGUUCAAAUUUUGUAACUGAAAUAAUCAGCAAGUAGUUGCAGAAAAUAAACUUUAUUCCUUAACUGGUUUCAGGCACACAGUUUCCUUCAGAACAGUUUAACUAUCGCAUUAUGUGCUUGUGUCGCAACUGAUGCUAUAGUUACAAGCUUUUGCAGAAGGGCGCCAAGUGCCUGAAGCCGCUUAAGGGAACAAAAUUUCUUUUGUGCAACUGAUUCCUGAUUAUUUCAAUGAAUACAACAACGGUUGCAGAGAAUGGAUAAAACACUGACAUUCAGUUAUACAUGAAUCUGGCGCCAGUCGCAGCUGUCAUAAGGUGCCAGUAAAUUUGCUCGUCGACGCUUCCUUUUUUGGCCUACAAAUUUCGGCGCCAAUAUAAUACUGCCAAAACUAGAGCAACAGUGUACUAGUGGUGACUGAGCUGUUGUCACUACUUUUUCUGGAUCAAUAAGAAUGCAUCACAAUAUUCAGCUGUCACACAUGUAUAAUUGUAGUGCCAGCAACUGUCACCUGCUUAUCUGUAUGUUUGUUUCGACAUUCAUCGCUUUUUCAUUAACAUCGUUAUUUUGUGGACCAUGUUUAUUAGCUCCAAUCCGACUGUGCUAGCUACAACAGUUUAUUGACGGUAGCCAAGUUAGUAGAUUUUUUUUUGUCGGUUAGAAAUUGCUACCAAAGUAUUCAGUAACCACAUAUAUAUAAUUCUGGUUCCAGUCACUCGGUGGCGAUGAAUUCAUAUGUCAAUAUUACGCAAAUCCCAGUAUCUCAGUAAAUACGUCGUACUGAACUCAUUAUACUGACGCCAAUAAUCCUGUAAUUGUGGAAACUCCAAUUUCAGUGGCACUGCGUUCGCAGCUCCACAAACACUUCAGAGAUUUAUGACAGCAGUCUACCAGAGCCAGCGCCUAAUUUAACUACCACAAAUAACACUAUCAAAAUGCACGAUUUCCACGUUCAUCAUGUAUCGGUGCUACUCUAUUUUUAUAUAUAUCUAUAUUCAAGGUUUGUUCAUACCUAACUACCUGCGCUACAUUGUAAAAUCCCUGCAUCAUCACCUCGCUCCAUCUACAUGCUAUAGUAACGCUGGAAUGCUUCUUGAUCAUGAUAAACAUUGUUGAGUUUGGAAGAAGUUCCGAAUGUAUUAUCUUGUGGAUAGAUAUCAAGGUAUAUCUGUUACUGUGAUAUUUGCUGUAAAUUACUCAAUGUGACCAAUUGUGCAUGAAAGCUAUAAGAGUAGAAUUAUUCCGUAUCAAUUACAUGUAUGAAGUAAAAUACACAAUAAAGUUUAAGUAUACUUACUUUAAAAAAAAAAAAAAAAAAAAAAGUA